rnacentral:lncRNA from 1 species
AUGACUGUCAUAAGGAAAUAUGAUGCAGCCUUACUAAACAAUAUUUCUCAGUGGAGUGAAGAAAGCAAUAUUUAUUUUUGGAGUCAGUUCCCCAGAUCUUGGAUAUCCUGUCUGGAGAUAGCCAUGGUAGCAUAUGCCUGUGAUUCCAGCACUCAAGAGACAGAGGCAGGAGGAUUGACAUGAGUUCCAGACCAGCCUGGGCUACAUCGUGAGUUCAAAAUCAUCCUGAACUACAUAAUAAGGUGAGAGACAGUGUCUCAAAAGCCUAAGAAAAAUAAAAAAAAAAUAUUUUUCAUUAAUAUCUCAGAUGUAUUUCAGAAUAUAUUCAGAAAAAUAUAUUUCAGAUGUAUUUUUCAGAAGCAAAUCAAACUACAGCAUUAAGUGAUCAUGAAUGAUAGUCCUAAGAAAUUUUCUCUGGCCAGC